AGAACUUCAGAGCAAAGGAAGUGGCUU
rnacentral:piRNA from 1 species